rfam:Termitomyces sp. J132 unplaced genomic scaffold scaffold360, whole genome shotgun sequence.
GCAUUAAUGGGGUAGUGGUAACCUGGGUCGUUGCCAUUUGGAAUCAAUGAUUCUGGUUGUGACUCGACCCGCCGGGGGUUCGAUUCCCCCUUGAUGCA